rnacentral:rRNA from 1 species
CGAUGGAGGGGGGUAACUACUGGAAACGGUAGCUAAUACCGCAUAACGUCGCAAGACCAAAGAGGGGGACCUUCGGGCCUCUUGCCAUCGGAUGUGCCCAGAUGGGAUUAGCUAGUAGGUGGGGUAAAGGCUCACCUAGGCGACGAUCCCUAGCUGGUCUGAGAGGAUGACCAGCCACACUGGAACUGAGACACGGUCCAG